rnacentral:tRNA from 1 species
AGGCGCAUGGCCCAAUUGGUAGGGUUGCGGUCUCCAAAACCGUCGGUUGGGGGUUCGAGUCCCUCUGCGCCUG